AGAUGCGUUGUGAUUGACUUAACUUGGGAGGGGGUGGGGAUAAAGAGCCUUCAACACAGAUGCGCUCUGCUGAAAGUGGUGGCUUUCUUCUAUCUGGCAAGGGCUGGUUGUGCUCUGUUUGGGGCACGAGCAUUAUGGCAUCAAAGGAUGUUGUCUCAGUCUGUGACUUGAAGGUUAUGAGCUCGGGGAAGAGACAGUUAAAGCUUCCUCACGCCAGCGAGAUGAGUUGUACCACACAGCGCCCAUGCCAGGUCAGCAGUCUGGAUGGAGCUGAGACACUUAGCAGCCGUGCCAAGCAGUGCCAGACACCUCUGGAAAGCCCUUGCCUAGGACCCCGAAUUUAGAUUCAUGCCGCAGUCUGGGGAGUGUUUUGACGUCUGCCAGGCUACAAGGAAGAGCACACUGCACACUGCCUCUGAGACAGACAGAGCUCUCAAGGCUGGGAGUCUGAGGAAACCGGACCUGGGCAGGGCUGCUCAGAUAUCCAGCUUCUGUGAAUGGAGCUGCCCAGCUCACCAGUGGUCAGCAGAAUCCAGGAUUAUCAUCUCCAUUAUCUUGCACCCUACCUCUGUGACACAUGAAGAAACCAACCUAGUUUCCAGUGACACAACAGAGCUCAACGGAUGCCACAUUCUUCAAUAUCUGCAAUUUGCUUAAGAGUUGGAUCUGUUUUCUUUUGUAGUUCUGUAUCAAGACUCUGAUGACUAAAUCUGAAAACAGUAUUGAUAUGCAAUUCACAAAAAAAGCUUUCUGAGCUACCAUUAUGAGGUCCUUUUCUCCUUUUGUGGCCAAGAAUGUGUUUUCCCUUGCCGUUACGUCAUGAGACCCAAGGCAGAAGUGUCCUGACAACUAGGAGAUGACUCAGUCUGCUUCAUUUGAAAGCUGGAUCUUGACUGAGGGGAAGCAGUAGAGGUGAAGAGUCUUCCAUGGUGAAGUACAAGUGCGUUUGGGCCAUGUCUUUGGUUCUUGUUGGUGCCUCCUGGUUGCUGUUGGGUGAAAUCUAUGAAAUAAACACUUUGCUCACACACAGGGUGAUUGGGGGGGCAUAUUGAUCUUUAGUGCAUUGGUCCUAGGGACAUCAGUGAGCUGAUACAAUCUACACAGGAGAACUUCUGCUUCUACUAGAACCAUCAUUCAAUGCAUGUUGGAUUUAGCUCUAAUGCCUCCUGUCUACAGGGAGAGUGUAUUCCUGGAGGGACACAGAAGCUGAAGCAGAAAGCUCGGUUCUCCCUCAGAGUUUGGAUCAUUCCAAGCUACAUGGAAUUUUAUUCAAUUCCGGGAGGAGUGGCUCAAAACCUGACUGUGAUUGAGUGGAUUGAAGACAAUUAGGAUCGUAUUUUAUUCAACCAGGAGACAUGGCAGCACAGUGGAUUUCCUUCUUUGGAAAUAUGUCCAGUCAAUUCUGGUAUUGAAAGGAACGACAGAGAAGAUACUUUGGACAAGCAAAAGCAGAUGUGGACUUGGCUCUGUGAGCCUUGGCUGGGAGGGACCCAGCAUGGUAGUGAUGGUCUCUGAAAACUUCCAGACAAGCAAAUGUAGAUGUCCUUUGUCAGAUCCCUGGGAGUGGAUACUGCAGAAGUCUUCUGGUGUUUCUUAUGGAUAAAUACUUACAAAAACUGUUUAUUCCUAUAAUACAACCAUGCCGCAACAUGCUUUGUAACUUUCAUUUGUUUUAGCGGUUGCAUUAGUAACUUGGCUCUUGCCUGAA